GACGAACGCUGGCGGCGUGCUUAACACAUGCAAGUCGAACGGGUCUGCCCUGUUUUUUGCGGGGUGGGUCAGUGGCGAACGGGUGAGUAACACGUGAGUAACCUGCCCCUCACUUCUGGAUAACCGCUUGAAAGGGUGGCUAAUACGGGGUGUUCUGGCUGUGCCGCAUGGUGUGGCUGGGAAAGAUGCACUUUUGUGGUGUUUUGGUGGGGGAUGGGCUCGCGGCCUAUCAGCUUGUUGGUGGGGUGGUGGCCUGCCAAGGCUUUGAGGGGUAGCCGGCCUGGGAGGGUGGGCGGUCACACUGGGACUGAGAUGCGGCCCAGACUCCUGCGGGAGGCAGCAGUGGGGGGUAUUGCACAAUGGGCGGAAGCCUGAUGCAGCGACGUCGCGUGAGGGAUGGAGGCCUUCGGGUUGUGAACCUCUUUCGCCGGUGAAGAAGGUCCUGCUCUUUGUGGUGGGGUUGACGGUAGCCGGGUUAUGAAGCGCCGGCUAACUACGUG
rnacentral:rRNA from 1 species